CUGUGCGUGCCCCGCCCCCUCGAGCUGCUAUACGCCGAUCGCCCAACAUCCGAGGACUUUGGCCCAGAGUAACCCAGCUCGCGUCACCUUUACCCUCCAUUCUGCACCUCUAGCUGCCCGCCCCGCGAGAGGGCGGCGGUUGGGCGCCCGUGCCGCUCGGUCCCGAGCCCCAGCUGUCCCCCUCCCGGCCCCUCCGCGCUUCUCCUCGUCAUGGCGGCCCUCAGCAAGUCCAUCCCUCAUAACUGCUACGAGAUCGGCCACACUUGGCACCCUUCCUGCCGGGUCUCCUUCCUGCAGGUCACUUGGGGCGCCCUGGAGGAGUCCCUGAAGAUCUAUGCCCCCCUGUACUUGGUGAGACCCGCCAGCCUCUCCCCCAGAUGGAGUUUAGUGUGGAGGAUGGGCCGGGGUUUCAGUCGGCGUCCCUGAGGGGCGCUGGGGGACUCGCCUGCUGUUGGUCUCUCUUUUGGAAAGGUCUGACAGCUUUGGGUGGGUGAAAGGCUGCGGGGAGGUCCUACGGGGG
rnacentral:lncRNA from 1 species